GGCAGUAUGGUGGAUACAGAAUGGUGGAUACAGAAUGGUGGAUACAGAUGGAAGCCGAUUCAGGCAAGGUAGUAUGGUGAUCUGUUUGGACGAUUUGGAAUAAAAGGAGAGUACAGUUUUUUUCUGACUGAUUGUCUUGGGGGUAGUGGCAGGCUGCAGACUGAGCGUCUCUUAAUUCUGAUAAUACCAGCUGAACAGUCCAGUUCAGUAGGGAUUAAGUUAAUUUGGUUUUCAUGUCAUUUUUGUUUGUCAUUGCACAUGUACUAAUUGCUUUCGGCCACCUAAGUUUGUUUUUCCAGAACGAGGUUGGUGGAUACAGAAUGGUCAAUACAGAUGGCAUAGCAUGCAGGCAAGGCAGAAGGGUGGAUACAGAAUGGUGGACACAGAUGGAAGCAGAUGCAGGCAAGGCAGUAUGGUGAUCUGUUUGGACGAUUUGGAAGAAAAGGAAAGUAGAUUUUUUUUCUGACUGAUUUUCUUUGGGGUAGUGGCGGGCUGCAGACUGAGCGUCUCUUAAUUCUGAUAAUACCAGCUGAACAGUCCAGUUCAGUAGGGAUUAAGUUAAUUUGGUUUUCAUUUCAUUCUUGUUUGUCAUUGCACAUGUACUAAUUGCUUUCGGCCACCUAAGUUUGUUCUUCCAGAACCUGGUUGGUGGAUUCAGAAUGGUGAAUAAAGAUGGCAGAGCAUGCAGGCAAGGCAGUAUGGUGGAUACAGAAUGGUGGAUACAGAAUGGUGGACACAGACGGAAGAGGAUGCAGGCAAGGCAGUAUGGUGAUCUGUUUAGACGAUUUGGAAUAAAAGGAGAGUACAGUUUUUUUGAUUGAUUUUCUUGGGGGUAAUUGCAGGCUGCAGACUGUGUCUCUUAAUUCUGAUAAUACCGGUUGAACAGUCCAGUUCAAUAGGGAUUAAGUUAAUUUGGUUUUCAUGUCAUUUUUGUUCUUAAUUCUAAUAAUACCAACUGAACAGUCCAGUUCAGUAGGGAUUAAGUUAAUUUGGUUUUCAUUUCAUUUUUGUUUGUCAUUGCACAUGUACUAAUUGCUUUCGGCCACCUAAGUUUGUUUUUUCAGAACCAGGUUGGUGGAUGCAGAAUGGUCAAUACAGAUGGCAGAGCAUGCAGGCAAGGCAGUAUGGUGGAUACAGAAUGGUGGAUACAGAAUGGUGGAUACAGAAUAGUGGAUACAGAAUGGUGGACACAGACGGAAGAGGAUGCAGGCAAGGCAGUAUGGUGAUCUGUUUAGACGAUUUGGAAUAAAAGGAGAGUACAGUUUUUUUGAUUGAUUUUCUUAGUGGUAGUGGCAGGCUGCAGACUGCGCGUCUCUUAAUUCUGAUAAUACCAGCUGAACAGUCCAGUUCAGUAGGGAUUAAGUUAAUUUGGUUUACAUGUCAUUGCACAUGUACUAAUUGCUUUCGGCCACCUAAGUUUGUUUUUCCAGAACCAGGUUGGUGGAUACAGAAUGGUCAAUACAGAUGGCAUAGCAUGCAGGCAAGGCAGAAUGGUGGAUACAGAAUGGUGGACACAGAAUGGUGGACACAGAUGGAAGCAGGCUGCAGACUGAGCGUGUCUUAAUUCUGAUAAUACCAGCUGAACAGUCCAAUUCAGUAGGGAUUAAGUUAAUUAGGUUUUCAUUAGAUUUUUUUUUUCAUUGCACAUGUACUAAUUGCUUUCGGCAACCUAAGUAUGUUCUUCCAGAACCAGGUUGGUGGAUUCAGAAUGAUGGAUAAAGAUUGCAGAGCAUGUAGCCAAGGCAGUAUGGUGGAUACAGAAUGGUGGACACAGAUGGAAGAGGGUGCAGGCAAGGCAGUAUGGUGAUCUGUUUGGACGAUAUGGAAUAAAAGGAGAGUACAGUUUGUCUGAUUGCUUUUCUUGAGGGUAGUGGCAGGCUGCAGACUGAGCGGCUCUCAAUUAUGGGGAUAUAAGAACAGCUGAACAGUUUAGUUCAGUUCCAUUUAGUUCAGUCUGGAUUAACUUAAUUUUCGUUUUAAAUUCAUUGAAGACUUUUUAUACGUCCACGUGUCCGUUCGCAUUUGUUUGUGUACACUCUACAGGUCAAAAUUGUUAUACGAUUUUGGCGAAACUUGAAAUAUAGGUUUAUUUCCCCAAGACCUCCCAUCCUUUAUUUCCUGGAAACUCUAGAUUGGCAAUAUCAGGUUUAUGUAUGAACUGUAUAUAUUUUCUAAAUUUUUCAUUGGUCUAAUAUGUACAGUAAAGGACAUUCCAUUGACAAGUUAAAACACAUUUUAAAAUAGGGGUUCUUAGUAACAUUGACUUUUAGUUGGAAUUUGGUGUAAAGUUACUCGAGGGAUCGAGUCUAGUUGUUAUUUCUAGGCUAGAUAGAUUAACAUGUCAUAACUUCAUCAACCAAUAAAAAGAGACUGAAGAUGUUUAUCUCUAUCAGGAGAACACAACACCGACAUUAUUUUCCCUAGUCCACAUAAUAUAUAACAUUGUUUUCUUCUUGCUACUAGCGGAACAUGUUUCAGCAGUUCUGAGUUCUGUUAUAUUCUGGAGAUUAGAAUUCUUGUAGGUCGAGACGGGUUUUUUGUGUUAUUGUUUGGAGAACAGAAUUCUUGUAGGUUUCACAAGUUCGAAAUGAUGAGAUAGCCAGUCUUCAAACAUAAACAGUUUCUUCUCUAAUGCAGAAAUAUAACACCAAAAUGGAUUCAGAUUUCUUGUAUUCUGGUUAAUGUAAUGGUUGGAGGCUGCAGACUUACCAUUACUUCUUAGAACAAGUACACAAACACAUCCCUACCCAUUUGGAACUUCUGUUCUUUGGGAACUGUAAUCAACAUUUACACAGACCUGAAUUCAAGGUAUAUGACAUUGUAUAUGCAGAAACAUAACACCAAAAUGGAUUCAGAUUUCUUGUAUUCUGGUUAAUGUAAUGGUUGGAGGCUGCAGACUUACCAUUACUUCUUAGAACAAGUACACAAACACAUCCAUACCCAUUUGGAACUUCUGUUCUUUGGGAACUGUAAUCAACAUUUACACCGACCAGAAUUCAAGGUAUAUGACAUUGUUUAUCUAACAGGAUUGUGGCUGAUUUACAUCUAUGCGAUAUUCUGGCGACUUCUAUCUCGCUUCUAUUGCGUUUUCUGAUGUGCACACCCCAUUGAUUGGUCCUCGACAUAGCCAGUUAUCACUGAUGACUUGUGGUUGGCCACCCAGUUAUUUCUGAUAACUGGUAGUUGGCAGUCCAUAUUAGGCAAUGGGCUUCUGAUACAGAAUAGAAAAAGAUCCAGUAAAGCUUACACAUUCGACGAUACUAUAUAGGCAGUCUUAUUCAUUUUUCUAGAAUGUAACAUUUGGGGUUGUUUCAUCUUGUAGUUUAAACCGAUAUCCUUAUUAAAAGUCCAUCAAAUCACUUGUCUAUGUAAAUGUGUGUCAAAGACCUGUUACUAGGUGUUCCUUUACUGUAACAUGUUGAUUAAAAUAUUGAUGGAGUUCUUGUGUAAUAUGGAUUUAACCAAUGUUAUGUCUCUGUAUAUCGCCAACGGUCAUCAAUUUAUUUUUUUUAUACGCCUACAUUUUCAUGUGGAUGUAUAUUUUCGUCCGAACGUCGGUUCACAUUUCUUUGUGGACAGUCUACAGGUCACAACUUUCAUCCGAUUUUUGACGAAACUUAAUAUCCCUAAUAUUGACAUGUAUUGAGCCGUAUCUUCGUGAAUCAUAGCCCCUUAAUUGUAUGAUUGAGCGGCUCUCAAUUAUGGGUACAAGACCAGCUGAACAAUUCAGUUCAGUAGGGAUUAAGUUAAUUUGGUUUUCAUUUCAUUUUUGUUUGUUAUUGCACAUGUACUAAUUGCUUUCGGCCACCUAAGUUUGUUUUUCCAGAACCAGGUUGGUGGAUGCAGAAUGUUCAAUACAGAUGACAGAGCAUGCAGGCAAAGCAGUAUGGUGGAUACAGAAUGGUGGACACAGACGGAAGAGGAUGCAGACAAGGCAGUAUGGUGAUCUGUUUAGACGAUUUGGAAUAAAAAGAAAGUACUGUUUUUUUUACUGAUUUUUUUUGACGUAGUGGAAGGCUGCAGACUGGGCGUCUCUUAAUUCUGAUAAUACCAGCUGAACAGUCCAGUUCAAUAGGGAUUAAGUUAAUUUGGUUUUCAUGUCAUUUUUGUUUGUCAUUGCACAGGUACUAAUUGCUUUCGGACACCUAAGUUUCUUUUUCCAGAACCAGGUUGGUGGAUGCAGAAUGGUGGAUAUAGAUGGCAGAGUCUGCAGGCAAGGCAGUAUGGUGGAUACAGAAUGGUGGAUACUAGCGGAACAUGUUUCAGCAGUUCUGUUAUAUUCUGGAGAUUAGAAUUCUUCAGGAGAAGGAUCUGAUGAUAGUGAUACAUGUAUAAUUGAUGAGAAUGAUGGUUGUCAUAUUUCCCCAAAAAGCUAUGUGGCAGAGCCAGCAGGUAGUAAAAUUAAAAGAAGACAAAGAAUAAGUUCGGAUUCGAACUCCGAAAUCCCUACACGAAAAGGUAGUAAAAUUAAAAGAAGAAAAAGAAUAAGUUCGGAUUCGGACUGUGAUACCCCUACACGAAAAGUCUGUAAGGACAGUAGAAAAAUUAACAAAUGGACAAGUAACGAUGUUGAACUUUUGAUCCAAGAGUUUGGGGAUCUACUCCGAAAUUGGAUGUAUCCCUCGUUUCAAUUGAUACGGCAUUUGAAGCAAAAAAAUAAACGAUUUACCCAUAGAAGUGACGCUCAAAUAAAGUCAAAAUGUGCCCAUAUCAUGAAAGGCAACCAUUUAUUAUAAAAUAAAG